CACGUAGGGGGGCGAGCGUUGUCCGGAUUUAUUGGGCGUAAAGAGCUCGUAGGCGGUUCGAUAAGUCGGACGUGAAAUCUCCACGCUCAACGUGGAGGGGCCGUUCGAUACUGUCGUGACUCGAGUCCGGUAGGGGGAGUGUGGAAUUCCCGGUGUAGCGGUGAAAUGCGCAGAGAUCGGGAGGAACACCCGUAGCGAAGGCGGCACUCUGGGCCGGUACUGGACGCUGAGGAGCGAAAGCGUGGGGGAGCAAACA
rnacentral:rRNA from 1 species